UAAAACGAGACACACUCGAAAUUAAAUUGAAGCAUUCAACAUUUCAAACUGGGAAGAAUGGUGACAUCAAAAAAAUCGAAAUUUUCAUUGCAAAAAGGGUCAGACUUAAUUUACGACUUUUGCUGCACAGUGUGUGAAGAGAAUGGCGCAUAUAACAAGGAGGUAGAGGCCUUUUGUGAACAGUGUUUCAAGUGUUACUGCGUCAAAUAUGUGGGACUUCACAACCGAUCGUUCAACAAACACAGUUUGGCUUUACGAAAUGAACUGCAUAAAUGGACGGAAAUCAAGGCUAAAGUGGAUGCGCUGGAAAAAUGCCCAGAACACAAGAAUGAUGUUAUAAAAUCAUUAUGCGAGGACCAUCAACAGCUGUUGUGUCAUGAUUGCCUUCAGACUAAACAUCGGCAUUGCGUCAAUGUGGUCACUACUGAUGAAAAGUUGAAAGGCCAACGCACGAAAGGGGAUAUCCAGAAAGCAGCCAGAAAUAUUGACACAUUACAAGCAAAGUUGAGUCAAAGAAUAAAUGCCCUUGAAAAUGACAUUCAGUCAGUUAACAAAACGUACGAGAAAAUACUUAAUGACAUCCGAACAUUACACAAAACGCUCAUUGAAGCUCUACAGCAACUAGAGAUAGACAUCAUUAAAAAACUUGAUGCACUGAUGACCACCAUAUAGACAUCAAUAGAAAGUGACACAGACCAAUGUACCAAACUUCAUACAAAGAUGAUAUGUUUCCAAGAUAAGAUUAAAAGUCUAGAAUACCAGUCUGAAGCCAUGUAUUUUAUUAUGUAUACUAAAUGUCUAGAAAUUGCGACUGAGGCAGGUACUUUUCUAAAAGAUGUGAAAACACAUGAUAAAGUCAAGAUGUAGUAAACUCCUGAUACAACCAUUACACAGACUUUGACCACGCUGUCAGGUUUAGGAAAAUUUGAAUGUCUUUCAAAGUUUGCACAUUCACCAAGAAAAGAAGAUAAUGAUGCUGUUGAGAUUGAUUAUAGGACCUUUUAUGAUAUUUUCGAUGAGACAGAAACAAUUCUCAAUGUUAAUAGACUUAAAAGUUAUAAAGACUAUGGCGCAAGAUACUAUCAAAUAUCAGCUAUUUGUGAGACAGCAGAAGAAAAUAUAUUAAUUUUAGACAAGCUGGACGAGAGCGUUAAGUUGCUUGAUCACUCGUACAACGUAGUGUCUCGCUAUGACCUGUAUGCUGAAGUCUUCUCGAUUUGCAGAGUUGACCCCAGACUGGUAGCUGUUGCUGUGGGUGACAAGGAAAUGGAAGAUGAUAUUAGUGAUCAUCCUGAACGUUAUAGUCUUCCUGUUAGGUUCCCGCGACAUGAUCAACAUGAUAUGACCGUUUUUAUUAAAGAAAGCAAUGGUCAACUGAUCUUGGACAGAUUUAAGACACUGUAUGAUCACAAAUGUAGAGGUAUCACCCAUCGCCAUGGCAACCUUUACAUAGCAUCAGGUACAGCCCUGUACCAGUACACUAUGGAUGGUAGGCAUUAAUGGAAAUUGUAUGAGGAUAGGUCUCCUCGCUCAGUUCCGUCUUGUGCUGUCAGUGUAGAUGGGGCUAGGAUCUAUAUAACUGAUCAAAUGAAGUAAAGGCUGGUCACUCUGUCUAGGGAUGGAACAUUGAAAUCCACACUGACAGACUGUCAAUUCCGCUUCCGAACUUUAGAUGACCUCCAUGUGACAGAAAUGGGGCAGGUUCUAGUAUGUGGAUAUUCUUCAGUCGCCCAGGUGGACAGAGAAGGGAGAAAUAUAUUGGCACAGGUGGUCACACAUAAAAUGAUGAAGGAACUUAUACGGAAACAAAAAUAUUUCAAACCAACAUACGUCUACUUCGAUAGAAAUACAGACUCAUUGUGGGAAUGACGUCAGGGAUAUAUGCGUUCGCAGAAUAAAUUAUUUUAAUCGAUGUCGCACAAACCAUAGAUUUAAAAAAGAGACAAACGAACUAAACAGAUGUAAACUUCUCCUGUACUUGAGACUCAAUUGGGUACAUUGACAUAAGACCAUCUUUCGAUUUCAAACGAAAUACACCAAUUCGAUUCCAUUCAUUUCUCUAUUUUUCACAUAACUCUAUGAACAGAAGACUUAACCAAUAAUGUAAAUGUUAACACAUACCAAACAAGAAAUUCUUUCGUUAUAUGUGUUUAAACCUCACAUAUGUAUGUUUAACUUGCCCAUUUCAUUAUAUCACAUUCACACAAUUUUGUAGUUUAAUAUUACAAAUAAUCACUGGCAUUCAUUAGUUGUUCAAUAGUAUUGAAUUUCUUAUUGUAUCAUAAAGCAGUCACUUUUUUAAAUACCUUUUUUAUUCCGAGAUAUUGUUGUGUAUUAAAAGCUCUUUAUAAGAUUAUUUAUGGUUUAAUAAAACACAAUUUACCUUUGAUAAUUCUUGAAGCAAUAUUUCAUAACACUAACGAGAUCUCUUAUUUAUUCCUCAGCACUAAAAAACUAUUUUAUUUUAAAUAUUUGUACAAAUAUUAAUUAGUAGUAGAUUCCCGUUUUUGGUAUAUUGUUGUUGUUAGUUGUGUUUGAUUGAACGAAGGCUAUUUUUGUACGUACUUAGGCAGUAUAAUUGCAAAACUGAGCACUAAAAUAAGUAUAUUGUCAUUUACAUGUAGCAACUCACUUCUUCAAAUUCAUGUUUUGUUAAACGCUUAUUCAAUGAGAACAAACAACAAAAUAAACUAUAUAAAAUUAUACAACAUAAGAGAAACAAAGGCUCAAAAUAUAACGGAUGGAACUUAGUGGUUACCCGUGAGCCCGGGGCAAGUAGAUUUUGGCCUGGGCAACUCAAUUUCAAAAGUUCGUAAACUUCUUUUUUUUAAUCUAACAACAAUUCAGUGCAAUAGAAUUGAAAAAACAAUUGAUCACCAUGGAUCUAUACUAGUUAAAAAACAUUCAUUAUUUAGGAAGAGGACAUGAUUCAAUUCAGGCUCAUAAUAAUACAUCAUGCAUCGAACGUGUGUAUUGUCAGCAAAUGUAUUUAAUUAUAUAUUAUUAAAUUAAAAGAAUGUAUAAUAUUCACAUGUUCAUAUUAUUUCUGGGCUCGUUAUUCUUUAUCUGGGCAACCAAUUACUAAAGAUAGUUGCCCACAAUAGUUUUCAAUCCCUGGCAUAUCAUUGUAACUUUAUUGUUAUAAGCAUUGCAUUAAAGUUGUGAUUGAGGUUAGCUUGUUGUUUAUAGUAAAUUUACUUUUUAGCUCGACUAUUAUAUAUGAAAAAUAUAUAGUGGAGCUAUCCUUCUCAACCCGGCGUCGGCGUGCGCAUUGGAAUGUUUGCGUACCACCUCAAAUAUAUUUCCUAUGUCCAUUGACAUAUUGCUUUUAUAUUUGCAUACUUCUUUACCAACAUUACCCCAAUCGAUAAACAAAAGCAGACAACUGUAUCAAGCAUUUUAACAGAAUUAGGCCCUUUUUCACUUAGAAUAUGCAUAUUAUUGAUAAAUCUAUGUUAAAGUUUGCAUACCACCUAAAAUAUUUUCUAUUUUCCUUGACAUAUUGCUUUCAUACAUGUAUUUUGCAUUCUUUUUAACCAACAUGACCCCAAUGUUUUAACAAGGGCAGAUAACUGUAUCAAGCAUUUUGUAACAAUUAUGGCCUUUUUUUCACUUAGAAUAUGCAUAUAAUUGAUAAAUCAAUGUUAAAGUUUGCGUACUACCUUUAAAUUGCCAUAACUUCUAUAUGAUGCUCCCCACAAAUUUUUUAGGGGGCUCCCCCAGUAAAGUCGCCGCUUCGUCUGUCCGUCCGUGCACAAUUUUUGUCCGCGCUAUUUCGCAGCAACUUAUGACUGGAAUUCAAUUAAACUUUAUGGGGAGCUUCACUACCAAGAGGAGAUGUGCAUAUUAUCAGCCGGUUCUGGUCGGAUGAUUUUUCACAGAGUUACAAUGUAUGGUCCUUUGAAAUUGUCCAUUAACUGUACAUAUAGUGCAAUUCUUGUCCGGGCUAUUUCUCAGCAACCAAUGACCGGAAUUCAAUGAAACUUUAUGGGAAGAUUCACUACCAAGAGGACAUGUGCAUAUUAUCAGCCGGUUCUCGUCGGAUGAUUUUUCACAGGGUUAUGGCCCUUUGAAAUUUUCCAUUGAACAUAUAGUGCAAUUCUUGUCCGAGCUAUUUCUCAGUAACUUAUUACGGUAAUUCAAUGAAACUUUACGGGAAGCUUCACUACCAACAGGAGAUGCGCAUAUUAUCAGCCGGUUAUGGUCGGUUGAUUUUUCACAGAGUUAUGGCCCUUUGAAAUUUUCUAUAAACUUUACAUAUCCAUGUCGUGCAAUUCUUUUCCGCGCUAUUUCUCCCCAACUACUACCUGGAAUACAAUGAAGCUUUAUGGGAAGCUUAACUACCUCUAGGAAAUGCGCAUGUUAUAAGUGGGUUCUGGUUAGAUGAUUUAUUUAGAGAGUUAUGGAAAUUUUAAAGUUGCUAAACCAUCCAUUGUUAUAUUUUGUCCAAAGUUAUACUCCUCAAGACGUUUUCAUUUAUCUGAAUAUAUAGUACAAUAUUGUGACCAAAAAACCUUUGGGGAGAAUCACCCAUCUCCGAUUGUUUCAAAUUUGAUUCAUGCUUUGACAAAACAACACUAACCUGACAUACCACAAUGGACACCACCCAAACUUGCAAUAAAACCUUAUUAGAUUGUUCUAUGUCUUAUCAAAUGUUCAAUUGAUUGUGGAAAAUAUACCUGAAAACAGAAUCGUCUAUAAAGUACAUCUUCUUUAAAACAUAAGUGAUCAAUAUUUUUCAGUUACAUUUAUGGUCCUCUUCCACUCAGAAUAUGAAUUUAUUACAUUGACCUUAUUGAAUAUGAACAAUUUCCCCAUGAUAGCUUUCGUUAUACUGUCAAGCACUCGAAUAGUCGAGCGCGCUGUCCUCUGACAGCUCUUGUUAAGUCCCAGAGUCUAUACUGGGGGACAUAUUGUUUUUGCCCUGUCUGUUUGUUGGUUUGUUUGUUUGUUGGUUUGCGUCAAACUUAAACAUUGGCCAUAACUUUUGCAAUAUUGAAGAUAGCAACUUGGUAUUUGGCAUGCAUAUGUAUCUAAUUGAGCUGCACAUUUUGAGUGGUGAAAGGUCAAGGUUAUAAUUCAAGGUCAAAGGUCAAAUAUAUAGGGGACAUAUUGUUUCACAAACACAUCUUGUUUGUGACUCCUAUAAAAGCUUAAAUAGUGUCAAGAAUCUUAAUGUACAGCACCAUUUCAUUUGCAAUCAAUAUUUGAAUAAUUCCAAUUGUGUGCUACAUUUAAUUACAGUGUAUAAUUCUUUUUGAAAGAAAAAUGAUUU